UACUAAGGGGGCUAGCGUUGCUCGGAAUCACUGGGCGUAAAGCGCACGUAGGCGGAUUGUUAAGUCAGGGGUGAAAUCCUGGAGCUCAACUCCAGAACUGCCUUUGAUACUGAAGAUCUUGAGUUCGGGAGAGGUGAGUGGAACUGCGAGUGUAGAGGUGAAAUUCGUAGAUAUUCGCAAGAACACCAGUGGCGAAGGCGGCUCACUGGCCCGAUACUGACGCUGAGGCACGAAAGCGUGGGGAGCAAACAGG
rnacentral:rRNA from 1 species